rnacentral:ncRNA from 1 species
GCAAAACAGUCGAAAGGCUGUGACGCAAAGCCAAGGGUCUUAAUCGGUUAAUUAAACAACCGGAAUGACAGCCGGUUGC